rnacentral:rRNA from 1 species
GCGUGCCUCAGACAUGCAAGUCGAACGCGAAAGUUCCUUCGGGGAUGAGUAUAUUGCCCUCCGGGUGAGUAACGCGUGGGUAAUCUACCUUCGGGUGGGGAAUAACUCAGGGAAACUUGAGCUAAUACCGCAUAAUGCAGCGGCUCGACAUCGAGACAGUUGUUAAAGCAGCAAUGCGCCUGAAGAGGAGCCUGCGUCUGAUUAGCUUGUUGGUGAGGUAAUGGCUCACCAAGGCUACGAUCAGUAGCUGGUCUGAGAGGACGGCCAGCCACAAUGGCACUGAAACACGGGCCAUACUCCUACGGGAGGCAGCAGUGGG